rnacentral:lncRNA from 1 species
UUUUUUAUUUUUCUUCAUUUGAUUUUUAUUUUUCCACAUUUUAUUUCACUGAUUUUCUAUUUUUUUUAUGAAUUUUCUCUUUUCUCCUUUAUUUUAAUUGGUUUAAAAAUACUUUUCUAUAUUUUAAAAUUCUGAAAAAAUUAUUAUAUGCUUCUUAUUUUAUUUCCAAUCUCCCAUAAUUUUCCUGGCCAUUUAUUUGGUGUUUUGAAGGAUUUUAUGGAUUUUUCACUUUAUUUCUAUUUUAAAAUUCAUUUAAAAAUACUUUUG